GGCCUUGUAUAUAUGUAAGGUCUGGCCUGCCCACUGAUUAUUUGAAGGGCCGUGGUAUUUUAACCAUGCGAAGGUAGCAUAAUCAUUUGCCUUUUAAUUGGAGGCUAGAAUGAAGGGUCGUUCGAGGGAUUGACUGUCUCUAACCUUUAUUUGAAAUUAAUCUUUUAGUGAAAAAGCUAAAGUAAUCUUGAAGGACGAUAAGACCCUAUAGAUCUUUUGAGUUGGGGCGACGCUAUAUGAAGAUAAAACAUUUAGUCUAUUUAAACACUUACAAGUGGCUACAAGACCCUGUAACGAGAAAAGGAAGUAGUUACCUUAGGGAUAACAGCGUAAUGUUUUUUGAAAGUUCAAAUUGACAAAAAUGUUUACGACCUCGAUGUUGGUUCAGGGAUCCUAUUUAGCGCAGUAGCUUUAUAAGGGAGUCUGUUCGACUUUUAAAUCCCUACG
rnacentral:rRNA from 1 species